GAAAGCAGACCUCACUGCCUGAAUGUCAAUUAUCCAGCCCCUGGGCACUCGCUCACAGAGUGCCACAGCUUAAAAUCAUUAUAAAGAUAGCAUUAAGACAAUUAAACAAAUUACUUGGAAUCAAGAGUACUUAAAAUCUAUCCCUAACGUGAAUAAAAGGUACCAGAGGACAACCUCAGAAAUUGAGGGAAAUUACAGAAAAGUGUUACAACAUGAGAUACUCAAGGACUGUUAUAGACGAGGCAGCAUGGGGUUUGAAGGAAGACAGCACUAGAAGGAAAAGAACUUCACAGAUGACCUCAAACAUAUGAAUGCAGCCCAGAGGAAACGGAACUUAAUUUGAAUUACUUUUCUUCCAAACACUCACUGAAGACCACAGAUGAUAUUUAAAACACUGUCCAACUGAUGUGGCCUGCACAUACCCAGGAAGAAUGGAAAAUGGCCAAAAAGAACCAAGACAGCCAUGCCAGUGCAUCUGGACUAAAUUCUGUACCUCCCUACACUUGAUCUACCUGUAAGAACCAUACUCCCUUGGUAUUUGCAAGAAAUGCUAAUGUCACCGUGCAUAAAUAGGUAAGAGGGGGGAAAUGUGUUCACUCUUAGCACAAGUUACUGAAAUAAUCUCUACUUUCUUCAUCUUUGUCCCCAAUCUAUAUGACCUACUGCAACAAAUUUUUAUUAAUAACCUACUAUAGGCCAGACGCUGUGCUAGGCACUGGGGAGAAGAUGUACAAGACAAACAAGAUCCCAUGUUC